GUGGAGGUGGCAGAUAAAUGUGUUCGUUUUAAGCUCGAAAGAUGAGCUGAGGCUCUCUCCACU
rnacentral:tRNA from 1 species